GAUCCUGGCUCAGGAUGAACGCUAGCGGCAGGCCUAACACAUGCAAGUCGAGGAGCAUCGGGAUUGAAGCUUGNUUCAAUUGCCGGCGACCGGCGCACGGGUGCGUAACGCGUAUGUAACCUACCUAUAACAGGGGCAUAACACUGAGAAAUUGGUACUAAUUCCCCAUAAUAUUCGGAGAGGCAUCUCUCCGGGUUGAAAACUCCGGUGGUUAUAGAUGGACAUGCGUUGUAUUAG
rnacentral:rRNA from 1 species